AUACGGAGGGUGCAAGCGUUAUUCGGAAUCACUGGGCGUAAAGGACGCGUAGGCGGGUUGGCAAGUCAGAUGUGAAAUCCUACAGCUUAACUGUAGAACUGCAUUUGAAACUGCUAACCUAGAGUAUGGGAGGGGGAGAUGGAAUUAGUGGUGUAGGGGUAAAAUCCGUAGAUAUCACUAGGAAUACCGAAAGCGAAGGCAAUCUCCUGGAACAUAACUGACGCUAAGGCGUGAAAGCGUGGGGAGCAAACAGGAGUAGAAACCCUAGUAGUCC
rnacentral:rRNA from 1 species